GCUUUUUUAGGUGUGCCUAGGUCCCGGAUAUUUUGAGUUGAAAAUCAAUCGGGGGCUCCCAGGUAGGUUUUGGAUCGGUCAGGGUUAGGUUAUUUUUGUCAGUGAUGUUGUUUGUGUAGUCAAACGGGCUAUUUUUGAGCUUAAUCAUUGUGCUAUAGCUCUUGGUUUUCUAGGUGUGCUCGGUGCCCGAGUAUAUUUUGAGCUAAAAAUCAACCAAGGGCUUACAGAAAGGCACUGAAUCAACCAGAGGUGGGUCGUUUGGGUCGGCGGGGCUGUUUGAUUGGUCAAAUAGGCUAAACGCGACAAAUGGGCCAUUUUUAGGCUAAAACAGUGUGUUAUAGCUUACAAUUUUCUAGAUGUGCCAAGGGCUCGGGCAUGUUUAGGGCAUAAAAUCAAUUAGGGACUACCAGGCAGGCGGUGGAUUAGCCAAAGGAGUAACGUUUGGGUCGGUAGGGCUAUCUGGGGUUUAAAUGGGCGAAAUGGCAUAAACGCGCCAUUUAUGGCCCUAAUUGGUAUGCUAUAGCUCAUGUUUUUCUAGGUGCAUCGGGGGCCCGAGCACGUUUUAUGCUGAAAAUCAAUCAAAGGCUCUUAGGCAUACUGUUGAUCAUCCAGGUUUAGACUGUUUAGGUCGGCAAAGCCGUUUGGGUGGACAAACGGGCGAAACGGGAUGAACAAGCUAUUUUCAGGCUAAAUCGGCAGGCUAUAGAUCACGAUUUUUUGAGUGGUCCUGGUGCCCUGACAUUUUUGGGGCUGAGAAUUAAUUGGGAUCUCCUAGGAAGGCUAUGGAUCGGCUAGGGAUUGGUUUGUUGGGUCACCGGGGUCGUUUUAGUGGUCAAACGGGCAAGCAAAUGCAAUGGGCAAUUUUUGGGCCAAAUCAGUGAGCUAUAGCUCAUGGUUUUCUGGGUGUGCUCGGGGCCCGGAUGUGUUUUGGAUCAAGAUUUAUCUUGGGGCUCCCAGGCAGUUUGUGGUUCGGCUAGAGGUAGGCUAUUUGGGUCGGCAGGUCCGUUUGGGUAGUCAAACAGGCGAAACACCAUGAGUAGUCUAUUUUCAGGCCAAAUUGGUAUGCUAUAGGUUUUUUGAUAGUGCCAGAGGCCCAAGCAUAUUUAGGGAGAUAAAUUAAUCGAGGGCUCCCAAGCAGGAUAUGGAUUGGCUAUGGGUGGGCAAUUUGGGUCAGCGGGGCUAUUUAGGUGGUCAAACAGGUGUAACAGCACGAAUAGUUCAUUUUCAGGCCAAAUCGAUGUGUUAUAGCUCAAGGUUUUCUGGGUGUGUCAAGAUACCAGGCGUGUUAAGGUUAACAGGGCUGUGUCGGUGGUCAAAUAUGCAAAACAAGGCGAAUGGACCAUUUUCUGGCCAAAUUGAUGUGUUUCAGCUCACGAUUUUUUGUAUGUGCUCGAGGCCCUAAUGUGUUUUGGGCAAUAAUCGAUCGAGGGCUUCCAGAAAGGCUGUGGAUUGACCAGGGGUUGGUCGUUUGGGUUGGCAGGGACGUUUAGGUGGUUCAAUGGGUGUAACGACAUGAAUGGUCUAUUUUCAGGCCAAAUUGAUGUGAUACAACUCACAAUUUUCUAGGUGUGCCUACGGCCCGAGCAUGUUUUGGGCCAAAAAUUAAUCGACGACUCCUAAACAGGUUGUGGAUUAGCCAUGGGUGGGAUAUUUGGGUCGGCGGGGCUAUUUUUGUGGUCAAACAGGCGAAAUAGUGUGGAUGGGCCAUUUUUGGGAUAUAUUGAUGUGCUAUCGCAUAAGGUUUUUUGGGUGUGCCUGCCGCUCGAGAAUGUUUUAGGCUGAAAAAUAACCUGGGAUCCCAGGAACCUGUGGAUCGGCCAGGGGUAUGUCAUUUGGGUCGAUGGGCCCAUUUGGAUGAACGUGCAAAAUAGUACAUAGGGCCAUUUUCGAGCCAAAUAGGUGUACUAUAGCUUACAGUUUUUGGGGUGUGCCUAGGGAUCGAGCAUGUUUUAGGACAAAAAUCAAUCGGGUCUCCCAAGUAGGCUGUGGAUCAGCCAGGGUUGGCUAUUUGGUUGGUCAAAUGGGUAAAACAGCACAGAUGACUUAUUUUUAGUUCAAAUUGGUGUGCUAUAGCUCAUGAUUUUGUGGGUAUGCCCAGGGCUCGGGCGUGCUUGCAAAAAUUGAUCGGGGUUUCCCAGGCAAGUUGUAGAUUAGCCAGGGAUGGGAUUUUUGGAUCAGCGGGAUUAUUUGGGUGGUCAAAUGGGUGAAACAACGUAAAUGGGCCAUUUUUAGGCCAAAUCAGUGUGUUCUAGCUCAAGGUUUUUUGGGCGUUCUUGGGGACCGGGCAUGUUUUAGGUCGUAAAUCGAUCGAGGGUUCUUAUGUGGGCUAUGGAUCAUCUAGGUAUGGGUCGUUAGGGUUUACAGGGUCGUUUGGAUGGUCAAACAGGCAAAACGAUGCAAAUAGUCCAUUUUCGGGUCAAAUCGGUGUGCUAUAGCUCAUGAUUUUCUGGGUGUGCACAGGGACCCAGCGAGUUUGGGGUGAAAAUUUGAUUGAGGGCUCUAAUUUAGGAUGAGGAUCAGCUAGGGGUGGGUCAUUUGGGUCGCAGGGCUAUUUGGGUGGACAAUCGAGCAAAACUGCACGAAUGGGCCAUUUUUCAGACCAAAUCAGCGUGCUAUAGCUCACCGGUUUCUGGGUGUACUCGAGUCCCGAGCGUGUUUUAGGUAAAAAAUUGAUCGAAGGAUCUCAGAAAGGUUGUGGAUCGGCCAGAGGCAGGUCGUCUGGGUCGAAGAGGCCGUUUGGGUGGUCGAAUGCCACGAACAGGCUAUUUUCUGGCCAAAUCAGUGUGCUAUAGCUCACGGUAUUCUAGGUUUGCCCGGGACUCGAGCAUAUUUUGGGCCAAAAAUUGAUGGGGGCUCCCAGGCAGGCUGUGGAUUGGCUAAGGGUGGGUUGUUUGGGUCAGGGGCAGAUUGGGAGGUCAAAGAAGCGAAAUGGUGCUAACGGGUCAUUUUCAAGCAAAAUUGAUGUGCUAUAGCUCAUGGUUUUCUGGGUGUGUCCAAGACUCAGGCUUGUUUUAGGCCAAAAAUUGAUUGGGGGCUCCCAGGCAGGCUGUGGAUCAGCCAGGGUUGGGUCGUUUGCAUCUUUGAGGCUAUUUGGGUGGUCAAACAAGCAAAACGAUGCGAACGAACUAUUUUCAAGCCAAAUUGGUAUGCUAAUGAUCACAAUUUUCUGGGUGUGCCCAGGGCUCGAGCAUAUUUUGGACCAAAAAUUGCGUGGGGGCUCCCAGGCAGGUUGUGGAUUCGCUAGGGGUGGGUGAUUUGGUUUGGAAGGGUCGUUUGGGUGGUCAAACAUGUGAAACAGCAUGAAUGGGUCAUUUUUAAGCCAAAUCGGUGUGCUAUAUCUCACAUUUUUCUAGAUGUGCCUGGGGUCCGAGCGUGUUUUAGACUAAAAAUCCAUUGGGGACUCCCAAGAAGGCUGUGGAUUGGUCAUAGGUGGGUCGUUUGGGUCGGUGGGGCCAUUUCGGAGUUUAAACUAGAAAAACGGCAUGAAUCGAACAUUUUUGGGCUAAAUUAGUGUGCUAUAGUUCAUGGUAUUUUGGGUGUGCUAGAGGAUCAGUAGUGUUUUGGGCUGAAAAUCAAUUAAGGGCUCCCAUUCAAGUUGUGGAUCGGCUAGGGGUAGUUUAUUUUGUUUGGCGGGGACUUUUGGAUGGUCAAGCAGGCAAAACGACAUAAAUAGGGUAUUUUUUGGCUAAAUUGGUGUGUAUAGCUCAUGAUUUUUUGGGUGUGCCCGGGGCUCGGGUGUGUUUUGGCCUUAAAAUUGUCUGGGGUUCUCAGGCAGGCUUUGGAUCAUCCAGGGAUGGGUUGUUUGGGUCGGCAGGGCCAUUUUGAAUGUCAAACAGGCAAAAUAGCACGAACUGGCCAUUUUUUAGCCAAAUCGAUAUGCUAUAGCUCACGGUUUUUUGAGUUCAGGCAUAUUUUGGGCCAAAAAUUAAUUGGGCUCUCUGACAGGAUGUAGAUCAAUCGGAGGUGUUCUGUAUGGGUUAGCAGGGCUGUUUGCGUGGUCAAAUAAGCGAAACGACACGAACGAGCCAUUUUCAGGCCAAAUCGAUGUGCUAUAGCUCACGAUUUUCUGGGUGUGCAUGGGGUCCAAGCAUGUUUUAUGCUAAAAGUCAAUUGAGAGCUCCCUAAAAGGGGGUGGAUCGGCCAGAGGUGGGACGUUACGGUCAGUGGGCUUUUUAGGUAGUCAAAUGGGCGCAGCGGCGUGAACUGGCCAUUUUUAGGCCAAAUUGGUUUGCUAUAGCUCACAAUUUUCUGUGUGUCCCUGAGUGUAAACACCUAAUUUUUGACCAAACCUAAGUCAAACGAACAAUUUGGGUCAAUUCAGUGUGCUAUGUAUCAUGAUUUUCUAGGUGUGCCUGGGUUUCGAGCGUAUUUUGGACCAAAAAUUGAUUGAGGACUCCCAGGCUGGCUUUGGAUAGGUCAGGGGUAGGUCGUUUGGGUUGGCGGGGCCGUUUGGGUUGUUAAACAGGCAAAACAAUGUGAAUAAACCAUUUUCGAGCCAAAUUGAUAUGUUAUAGCUCAUGGUUUUCUGGGUGUGCUCGGGAGUGUUUUGGGCUAAAAAUUAAUCGGGGGCUCUUAUUCGAGUUGUGGAUCGGCCAGGAGUAGGUUGUUUGGGUCAGCGGGGAUGCUUGGAUGGUCAAACAAGCAAAACAACACAAAUGGGCCAUUUUGGGGCCAAAUCAAUGUUUUAUAGCUCACAUUUUUUUGGGAAUGCCCGGGGCUCGAGUGUGUUUUGGGCCUAAAAUUAUUGGGGGUUCCUAGCUAGGAUGUGGAUCUACCAGGGGUGGGUAGUUUAGGCCAGCGGGGCUAUUUGGGAGGCCAAACAGGCAAAAAGGUGCGAACUGGCCAUUUUUGAGCCAAAUCGGUGUGCUAUAGCUCAUGGUUUUCUGGGUGUGCCAGGGGACCUGGUAUGUUUUUAGAUGAAAAUCAACCUGGGAUCUAUGGCAGACUGUGGAUCAACCAUGGGUGGUCUGUUUUGGUAAACGAGGCUGUUUGGGUGGUCAAACGGGAAAAACUACAUGAAUGAGCCAUUUUCAGGCCAAAUCGGUGUGCUAUAGCUCAUGUUUUUCUAGGUGUGCGCAGGGCCCGAGCAUGUUUUAGGCUAAAAAUCGAUCGAGAGCUCCCAAAAAGGGUGUGGAUAGGCCAGGGGUGGGCUAUUUUGGUCUGCGGGGCCAUUUAGGUGGUCAAAUGGGUGAAACGGCCCGAACAGGCCAUUUUUCGGGCCAAAUCAGUUUGCUAUAGCUCACGAUUUUAUGGGUGUAACUAAGUCCCAGGCGUGUUUUGGGCCAAAAAUAACCCGGGACUUCCAGGCAAGCUAUGGAUCAGCUAACGGUUGAUCAUUUGGGUCGGUGGGGUCGCUUGGGUGGUUUAAUGAGUAAAACGACGUGAAUGGUCUAUUUUUUUUGCUAAAGUGGUGUGCUAUAGCUCUCGAUUUUCUGGGUGUUCCUACGGUUUGAGUGUGUUUUGGGUCGAAAAUUGAUCAAGGGCUCCCAGGCAGGCUGUUUAUUAGCCAGGGGUAGGCUAUUUUAGUGGUCAGAAGGGCGAAACGUAUGAACGGGUUAUUUUCGAGCCAAAGCGGUGUGCUAUAGCUCAUGGUUUUCAAGGUUUGUCCGGGGCCCAAGCGUGUUUUUGGCAAAAAAUCGAUCGGGGGCUCCCAGGCAGCGUGUAGAUAGGCUAGGGGUGGGUUCUUUGGGUAGGAGGGGUCAUUUGAGUAGAAAGGGCAAAACGGUGUGAACAGGCCAUUUUAGGGAAAAAUUGAUGAGCUACAGCUCACGGUUUCAUAGGUGUGCCUUGGGCUCGAGUAUUUUUUGAGCAAAAAAUCAAUCGGAGGCUCCCAGAUAGGCUGUGGAUCGACCAGGGGGUUUGUAUCGAUCAGCAGGACUACUCGAGUGGUCAAACGAGUGAAACAGCUCGAACGAGCCAUUUAAGGCUAAAUCAAUGUGUUAUAGCUCACGGUUUUUUGGGUGUGCCCACGGCCCGGGCGUUUUUUAGGCCUAAAAUUGUUGGGGGCUCCUAGGCAGAAUGUGGAUUGUCCAUGGGUAGGCCAUUUUGGUCGUUCGACCAAUUUGGGAGGUUAAACAGGCAAAAUACGCACGAACUAGAUAUUUUUGAGCCAAAUCGAUGUGAUAUAGCUCACAAUUUCUAGGUGUACCAAGGGACCGAGCAUUUUAAGGGCUAAAAAUUGAUCAGAGGCUACUUGGCAAGUUGUGGAUAAACCAGGGGUGGUCUAUUUGGGUCAACGGGGCUUUUUAGGUGCUCAAACAUCCAAAUUGACAUAUACAAGCCAUUUUUAGGUCAAAGCAGUGUUCCAUAGAUCACAAUUUUAUGGGUUUCCCCAGGGAAUGAGUAUGUUUUAGGCUGAAAAUUGAUCGAGAUCUCCCAGAAAGGGUGUGGAUCGGUCAGGGGUAGGCCUUUUAGGUUGGCGUGACCGUUUAGGUGGUCAAGCAGGCAAAGUGACGUGAAUGGCUAAAUUGGUUUGCUAUAUCUCACAUUUUUCAGGAUGUCCCUGGGGACCGGGCUUGUUUUGGCUAAAAAAUAACCUGGGGCUUCCAGGCAGGAUAUGGAUCGGCCUAGGGUGGGUCGUUUGGGUGGUCAAACUAGCAAAACAGCGCGAAUACACCAUUUUUUGUUCAAAUCGGUGUGCUAUAACCCUCAAUUUUCUGGGUGUGCCUGGGGUUAGGUCUUUUUUUGGGUUGAAAAUCAAUUGAGGUCUGCCAGAAAGGCAGUUUAUAGGCCAAGGGUAGGCCAUUUUGGUGGUUAAAUGGGUGAAAUAGUGCGAAUGGGCCAUUUUUGGGCCAAAUUAGUAUGUUAUAACUCAUGAUUUUUGGGUUGUUUUGGGCCAAAAAUAUAUCGAGGUCUCCCAGGCAGGGUGAGGAUCGGCCAGGGGAUGACCGUUUGGGUCGGCGGAUCAUUUGGGUUGUCAAACAGGCGACGAUGCAAAUGGGCCAUUUUUAGGGCCAAAUCAAUGUGCUAUAGCUCAUGGUUUUCUGGGUGUGCCUGGGGCCCGGGCGUAUUUUGGGCAAAAAAUUGAUCGGGGAAUCCUAGGCAAGUUGUGGAUCGACUAGGAGUGGUUUGGUUUGGUCAGCAGGGCUAUAUGUGCGGUCAAACGAGCAAAACAGCAUGAACGAGCCAUUUUUAGGCUAAAUCGGUACGUUGUAGCUCACAAUUUUCUGGGUGUGCCCGGCGCCCGGACAUGUUUUGGGAUAAAAAUCAACUAAGGGCUCCUAAGAAGGCUGUGGAUCAACCUGGGAUGGGUCAUUUGGGAGGUCAAAUGGGUGAAGCAGCGGGAAUGUGCCCUUUUUGGCCCAAAUCAGUGAGCUAUAGCCUACCAUUUUCUGGGUGUGCCUGUGGACUAGGUGUGUUUUGGGCCAAAAAUAACCUGGGGCUCCCAAGUAGGAUAUGGAUUGGCCAGGGGUGGGCUAUUUAGGUCGGCGAGGCCGUUUGGGUAGUCAAAUAGGUGAAACGGCGUGAAUGGACCUUUUUUGGCUAAAUCAUUAUGCUAUAGCCCUUGGUUUUCUUGAUAUGCCCGAGGCUCGGGUAUGUUUUGGGUCAGAAAUAAUCGAGGGCUCCCAAGCAGGUUAUGUAUUAGCCAGGGGUAGGACUUUGGGGUUGGCGGGAUCGUUUGGGUAGUCAAACCGAUAAAAUAAUAUGAACGAGUCAUUUUUGGACCAAAUCGGUGUGCUAUAGCUCACGAUUUUCUGAGUUUUCCUGGACCCGAGGAUUAUUUGGGCCAACAAUCAAUUGGAGGCACCUAGGCUUGGUGUGGAUCACCCAGGAGUGGGCCAUUUGGGUUGGCGGGGCCAUUAGGGUAGUUAAAUAGGCGAUAUGGUGCGAACGGGCCAUUUUUGGUCCAAAACGGUGUGUUAUAGUUCACAGUUUUCUAGGUGAGCCUGGGGCCCAAGCAUUUUUGGGAUUAAAAUUGAUCGGGGACUCCUAAAAAGGUAAUCGAUCGGCUAGGGUUUGCCUAUUUGGGUGUUCAAAUGGGUGAAACAACACAAACAGGCCAUUUUUGGUCCAAAUUGGUAUGUUAUAGCUCAGGGUUUUCUGGGUGUGCCUCGGGCCUAUGCAUUUUUUAGGUUGAAAUUUGAUCAGGGUCUCCCAGGAAGGCAGUGGAUCAAUUAAGAGUGGGAUGUUUGGGUCGGCAGGGCCGUUUGGGUGGUCAAACAUGCGAAAUAGGGCGAACGAGCCAUUUUCGAGAUAAAAUGAUAUGCUAUAGCUCAUGAUUUUAUGGGUGUGCUUGGGCACCAACUUGAUUUGGGUUGAAAAUCAAGUGGGUGCUUCUAGGCAGGCUCUGUAUCGGCCAAAGGUAGGCCAUUUGGGGUCGGCAGGGCCGUUUAGGUGGUCAAACAGGAAAAAUAGCCCGAAUUGUCCAUUUUGGGUCUAAAUCGGUGUGUUAUAGGUUGCGGUUUUAUGGGUAUGAAAAGUGCUCAAGCAUUUUUUGGUGAAACAUCAAUCGAGGGCUCCUAGGAAGGUUUUGGAUAUACUAGGGGUGGGCCAUUUGGGUCGGUGAGGCCGUUUAGGUGGUUAAACAAGCAAAAUAGAGUGAAUUGGCCAUUUUUAGCCUAAUUGGUGUGCUAUAGCUCACGGUUUUUUGGGUUUGCCUAUGGACGGGCGUGUUUUGGGUGGAAAAUCCAUUGGGGGUUCCUAGUCAGGCUGUGGAUUGUCUAGAGGUUGGUCAUUUGGUUCGAUGAGGCCGUUUGGGUUAUCAAACAGGUGAAACAAUUUGAAAGGGCCAUUUUCAGGCCAAAUCAGUGUUCUAUAGAUCAUGGUUUUCUAGGCGUGUCGGAGGCUCAAGCAUAUUUUGGGCAUAAAAAUGAUCAAAGGCUCCUAGAUAAACUGUGGAUCGGCAAGGGUUUGGUCAGGAUGCCAUUUAGUUGGUCAAACAGGAAAAACAACACGAACGGGCCAAUUUUGGGCCAAAUUGAUGUACUCUAGCUCAAAGUUUUUUAGGUGUGCCAGGGUCCCGAGCAUGAUUUGGGUUGAAAAAUUAAUUAGGCAUUCCUAGGUAAGCUAUGGAUCGACCAAAGGUGGGCCGUUUGGGUCGGUGGGGCGGUUGGGGUAAUUAAAAAGGCAAAAUGGGGUGAACAGGCCAUUUUCGGACCAAAUCGGCAUGCUAUAGCUUAUGAUUUUCUAAGUGUGCCCGAGAAUCAGGAUUUUGGGGAUGAAAAUCAUUUGGGGAGUCACAGGCAGGCUGUAACGCCCCGAGUCUGUACCCCGAACGCUACACGGUGCUUAUAAUUCCAAAGGACCACAAGCUAAUUCAUGACUAGUACCUGUUGCACUAACUGAAUAGCAAUACUGUAAAUGUGCGGAGAUUAGGCAGAAACUUGCCAUAAGGUUUGAUACUGAAAUACAAAACUGAAUACAGUAUAACAAUACCAAAAAUUGAAUCAUUUGUCUGAAAAUACUUUAGUCUGAAAAGCCUCUAAACUGUCCGAAAUAUGGAGUUGAUGGGACAUGUCCCCAACUAACUCUGAGCUGCUGAAAUAAGCUGAACUACUGAAAUAAUAAUCUUGUCCUCAGACUAUGAGGACUCACCACUAACUCUGUCAGAUGAAUAUCUGAACUGCUAAGUAUGAUCAGAAGAUCGUGCGUCUGAACCUAUGAUAUAAAACAUCAUAACACAAAAGAAAAGUAUUUGUCAGUACUUUGAAUGUACUGGUAUGCAAAGUGAGGUAGGAUGAAAUUUAAGGGUUCAUAUGCAUGAACAAUACUGACUGAAUAACAUCAUAACAACUGAAUGAGAGUACAUGCAUGAAUACAUAAACUGUAAUUGAGAUCGUGAUAAUAAUGGAUACUGAGUCUGAAUACUGAUUAACUGAUAUCUGAGUUUGCUGAUACUAAAAUUAUAGAUAAGUGAGUGACUGUAUCUGACAGUCUUAUUUUUGUGGAACUAUACUGAGUUUCGUUCUGAGCUGAGUGACUAUAUCUCAUAGUCCUAAUUUUCUAUAGAACUAAACUAAGUUAUAUGCUAAGACUGGAACUGAAACUGAGACGUUGGGAAGUAAUCAUCUAACCGACAUUCCCCUCUCUGAAAUGAUUGGGGUCCAAACUGUAACCCCAGCUGGAAGGGUGUCAGUACCGUGCCACGGGUAAAGACAGGCCGAGUCACUCUCAUCUGACAGGUGCUCUGAGCGAGAACGGUGGUACACUCAACUGGCAGGUUGGUCUCAACCUACGUUGGCUACGUAGUUCUGGAACACUAGGACUACUUCUAAGGAUCACACUCUCUACUGGCAGGUAAGUCCCCAUCCUUGGGUUCACUUGGUGCUGAAUCCUACUCCCAACUGAAUAGACACUGAACUAAAUUCUAGACUGUUCUAGGAUGGACUAAAUUGUUUCUAAUCAUGUUCACUGACUGAACUAGUCUGAGUUCACUGGGUUUCGUGGACUGACAGAAUACUACUGAAUUUUGUGAACUGACUAAGUACUACUGAGUUUUCCUAAGUUCUGUAUCUGAUGGAAUUCUACUGAUUAUGACAUGACUGAUACUAUUCUAUAACUAACCAUGGCUCUAGGUAAUCAGCUAAAUUAUCGGGUAUUAAAUACCCACAGGACUCGAUAGCAUAAAUUAUAAGACAUGGCACAAUCUUGAAACAUGAUAGCUAAGUAUUUGAUCAUCGUGCAUUCAUUUGGGACAUUCUAGCAAACACUUGCAUGACAUGAACUUGAAUGUAUGCCAACAUGAUAUAAUUUCACUAUUCAACUCAUAUAAACAAUUCAUCAAAUAUUUGAUUGACAUAAUCUAUGCACAUGACACUACAACAACAUGUAGGCAUUAUAAUUCAAUUCCACAUUUACAACUUCAAGGGUUUCAACAUGGUUUCACGUCAUAAUACACACAUAUCAAUCAAUUUUACAUGAAUCUUAUAGUAAAUCCUGAACUAGAAACCCCAUUAACAUGGCAAUCAUGAACACAUUCAAAUUCAACUAUGAAAUUCAUCAAACUCAUAAACUUGUAGUUAAAAGGGAUUCUUGAACUCCAAGGGUGGAAGGGAACCCUUGGAUAAACACUUGACAUACCUUGGUUGCUAAAUUCUUGAAGAACAAUUAUGGAAAUCUUGAGCCUUGUCCUUGAAAUUAAUUCACCUAGGGUUCUUGUUCUUGAGCAAUUUGAGAGAAAGUAAGUAUAUUUUGCUCAAUGAGGUCUAAAUCUCGUGUUUUAGGGAUGAAUAGGGGUGGGGAAAAGACCCAAAUACCCCCAAGGACGCAGCUUUUUAAUGACUAAAAACCAGACUAUCGAUGCGUAGGACGACGCACCGCGUUAUUGGCGUCAAUACGAUAUCCAAUGAGCUGUAUCGAGUUUACAUCAGUUCACUGGAAAUUGCCACUGAGAGCCAAGGAAAAAUAAUAAUCGAUGCGAUGACCGAUGCGCCGCACCGAGAUCACAUCGAUACACUAUUUUGGAUUCCCAAACGUGGUUCAAACGAGUCUGAAAAAAUCCAAAACUCAUCCAAAAACACCUACUGAUAUUCUUGAUCAUGAACCAACCUAAAGACUGACAUUUUAAAGCCAUUGAGGUCAUGAAAUAUAGUUUCCAACUUACGAAGGCUAAAAUGACACUAAGUUUGAAUACUUAGCAAAAAAUUUCUAAGUUUGGGACCCCUUAAGAGCUUUAAAGGGUUGAGUUAAGCUAAGGAUUUCGCGGGGUCUUACAAUAUCUCCCCCUUGAAAACAUUCAUCCUCGAACGAGACUGACUACGAUGGGAGAAUUGACAGACUUAGCUUGCUUACUGGACAUGCACAACUAAAGCAUGACUUCAUGACUGAAAUUUUUGAUAUGCUGAAUUAUCAUACUAAAUAUGCAUAUCUGAUGCAUCAGUACAUAACUGAACAUGAUUUAUGAAUGCAUGACUGGGAUUACUGAUAAGCUGAGUUUAUAUACUGAACAUGCAUGUCUGAUGCAUGAGUACAUGACUGAACUGAUUCAUGAAUGCAUGACUGAGUUUGCAACGUCAAUUGACACUAAGUUGGUAGCUAUAUCUAAACAUAAGACUGAGUAAUUCAAAGGAAAAGUGUUACCUUGGGCUGAGUUUAAGUUUGCAGAGAAGAGGUGAGGGUACUUGGUCCGCAUGUCUGCUUCUGCUUCCUAAGUAACUCCCUCAAUGGACUGAUUCCGCCAAAGAACUUUGACUAGAGGGACUUCUUUAUUCCUCAGUCUGAGGAUCUAAUAAUCAAGGAUUUCGACUGGGAUCUCUUAAUAAGAGAAGUUUUUCUGAAUAUCUAUGCCCUCUAUAGGGACUACGACUAUUGGGUCACCUACGCAUUUCUUAAGCAAGGAGACAUGGAACAUUUGAUGCACUGAAACUAAGUCUGAAGGUAACUCGAGUUAGUAAGCUACCUUUCUAAAAUUGCUGAGAAUUCGUUAAGGACCGACAUAUCGGGGACUGCGUUUCCCCAUCUUGCCAAACCUCUUCACUCCUUUCAUAGAAGAGAUUUUCAAAUACACAAAGUCCCCAAUCUCAAACUCAAGAUCCUUUCUGCAGACAUCCACAUAAGAUUUCUGUCGGCUCUGAGUUGUCUUAAGCCUUUCCCUGAUCAGUUAAACUUUCUCUAAGGUGUUGAACACCAAGUUGGGCCCUACCACUGCGGCCUCACCCACUUCAAAUCAACCAACGGGAGAUCUACACCUCCUCCCAUAAAGCACCUCUAACGGAGCCAUCUGAAUACUGGAAUGAUAGCUGUUAUUAUAUGCAAAUUCAAUCAAAGGCUAGAGGUUGGCUGUUUUGGUUAGCGGGGUCGUUUGGGUUGUCAAAAAGGCAAAGCGACGCGAAUGGGCCAUUUUUGGGCUAAAUUAUUGUGCUAUAGCUCAUGGUUUUCUAGGUGUGCCUGGGGCUCAAGUGUGUUUAGGCCAAAAAUCGACUAAGGGCUCCCAGGCAGACUAUGGAUCGGUCAUGAGUGGGCCGUUUUGGUAGUGAAAUAGGCAAAAUAGUGUGAACAGGCUAUUUUGGGGACAAAUCGUUGCACUAUAGCUCACAAUUAUUUAGGUAUGCACGGGGCCCGAGCAUGUUUUGGGUCACAAAAUCAAUCGAGGAUUCUCAAUUAGGCUAUAAAUUGGCCAGAGGUGGUUUAUUUGGGACGGAAAGGUCAUUUGGGUGGUCAAACGGCAAACCAGCACGAAUGGACCAUUUUUAGGCCAAAUUGAUAUGCUAUAGCUCACGAUUUUCUGGGUGUUCUCGGGUCCCAAGCAUAUUUUAGGCUAAAAAUCAAUCGUGGUUCCUAGUCUGGCUAUGGAUAGGCUAGGAGUGGGUCAUUUGGGUCGGCAGGGUUGUUUGGGAGGUAAAACGGAUAAAACAGCAUGAAUGAACAUUUUUAGGCCAAAUCGUUGUGCUAUAGCUUAUGGUUUUCUGGGUGUACCAGAGUCUCAAGCAUUUUUUAAUCUAAAAAUUGACCAAGGGAUCCCAAGAAGGUUGUGGAUCGACCAGGGGUGGGUCAUUCGGGUCGGCAGGGUCAUUAGGGUGGUAACACGAAUGAAACAACAUGAAUGGGUCAUUUUUUAGCCAAAUUGGUGUGCUAUAGCUUAUGGUUUUCACAGUGUGCUCGGGUCCUUGGCGUGUUUUAUGCCAAAAAUCAACUGAAGGAUCCCAAUCAAGCUAUGGAUCGACCAAGGGUGGGUCAUUUGGGAGGUCAAACAGGUGAAACGACGUGAAUAGACCAUUUUCUAGCCAAAUUAGUAUGCAAUUGCUCUCGGUUUUCUGCGUGUGCCUAGGGCUUAGGUGGUUUUUGGGUUAAAAAUUGUUCGAAGACACCCAAGCAGGCUAUGUAUAGGAUAGGGGUAGGUCGUUUAGGUCAGCGGGGUCGUUUGGGUGGUCAAACGGGCGAAACGGCACGAAUAAAUCGUUUUCAGGCCAAAUCGGUUGCUAUAGCUCACAGUUUUUAGGGUUUUGUGUGGAUUGUCCAGAGGUGGAAUGUUCAGGUCGGUGGUGCCAUUUGGGUAGUCAAAUGGGCAAAACAACUCGAAUGGACCUUUUUCAGGUCAAAUCAAGCUCACGAUUUUUUGGGUGUGAAUGGGGACCGAUCGUGUUUUGCACUAAAAAUCAAUGGGGGCACUCAGGAAGGCUGUGGAUUAAUCAAGGAUGGGCCAUUUGGGUCAGUGGGGUUGUUUGGGUGGUCAAACGAGAAAAAUAGCACGAACGGGCCAUUUUUUGGACAAAUCAAUGUGUUAUUACUCACGAUUUUCUUGGUAUACCUAAGCCCCAGCUUUUGGGGGCUAAAAAUUGAUCAGGUUCUCCAAGGUAGGAGGUGGAUUGGCAGAGGUGGGACGUUUGGGUUAGCGGGGUGGUUUGGAUAGUCAAUCAAGUGAAACCGAAUGAAUGGGUCAUUUAAGGGCUAUAUCAGCGUACUAUAGCUCGCGAUUUUUCUAGGUGUGCCCGGUGCUCGGGCGUAUUUUGGGAGAAAAAUCAAUUAAGGUCUCCCAGGAAGGCUGUGGAUCUACCAAGGAUGGGCUAUUUCAGUCGGUGGGGCCGUUUAGGUGAUCAAACAGGCUAAACAUCGUAAACAGGCCAUUUUUGGGCCAAAUCGGUAUGCUAUAACUCAUGGUUUUCUUGGUGUGCCCCUGGCCUGGGCGUGUUUUGGUACGAAUCAACCGAUGGCACUCAGAAAGGCUUUGGAUUAUCCACGAGUGAGUUGCUUGCAUCGGCAGGGCCGUUUGGGUUGUCAAACAGGCAAAACGAUUAAAAAUGGACCAUUUUCGGGCCAAAUUGGUGUUCUAUAGCUCACUGUUUCCUAGGUGUGAUUGGCUCCUGAGUGUAUUUUGGGUCAAAAAUUGACUGGGAGAUCCCAAGCAAGUUGUGGAUUGGUCAGGGAUGGGUCGUUUGGAUCAAUGGGGCCAUUUGGGUAGUCAAACGGGUGAAACAGCGUGAAUGAAUGAUUUUCUAGCAAAAUUGGUGUGCUGUAGCUCACGAUGUUCUAUGUGUGCCCUAGGCCCUAGCGAAUUUUUAUCUAAUAAUCGACCAGGGGAUCUUAAGCAGGCUAUGGAUCAGCUAGGGGUGGGUCAUCUGGAUCAGUGGGUCCAGUUGGGUGGUCAAAUGGGUGAAACGGCGCCAAUAGGCUAUUUUCGGGCCAAAUUAUUGUGCGAUAGCUCAAGAUUUUCUGGGUGUGCUCUAGGAUCAAGCGUGUUUUAGACCAAAAAUUAAUUAGGGGCUCCCAGAUAGACUGUGGAUCGGCCAUAGAUGGCCCUUUUGGGUUGGCGAGGCCAUUUGGAUGGUCAAACGGGCAAAAUAGUGCGAACAGGCCAUUUUCAGGCCAAAUCAGUGUGUUGUAGCUCAUGGUUUUAUUGGUGUUCCUGGGGACCGAGCGUUUCUUGGGCCACAAAAUCAACCAGGGUUUCCCAGAUAGGCUGUUGAUCAGCCAGGGGUGGGUCGCUUAUAUCGGUAGAGUCGUUUGGCUGGUUAAACGGGAAAACAAGUGCGAAGGGACUAUUUGUAAGCCAAAUCGGUGUUAUAUAGCUCAUGAUUUUUUGGGUGAGCCCGUGUCCUGGGUAUGUUUUAGGUAAAAUACACCGUGAGCUCCCAGGCAGGCUAUGGAUAAGCCAGAGGUGGGUCAGUGGGGCUAUUUUGAUGGUCAAACAGACGAAACGAUGUGAAUAGGCUAUUUUUGGGCUAAAUCGAUGUGCUAUAGCUCACGGUUUUCUGGGUGUGCCAGAGGCUCAGGCAUGUUUUAGUCUAAAAAUUAAUCGGCUGCCCCCAGGCAGGCUGUGGAUCAGCUAGGGGUGGGUCAUUUGGGUCGACGAGGCCGUUUGGGUGGUCAAACGUGCGAAACGGCAUGAACGGGCCAUUUUCGAGCCAAAUUAGUAUGCUAUAGCUCACGAUUUACUGGGUGUGCCCGAGGCCCGGGCGUGUUUUAGGCCAAAAAUCGAUGGGGGCUCCCAGGAAGGCUAUGGAUUGGCUAGGGGUGGGUUAUUUGGGUUGGCGUCAAUCAAUUGAAAUGACACAAACAAACCAUUUUUUAGUCCAAUUGAUGUGUUAUACUCACUGUUUUCUGGGUAUUCCCAGGAUCCGAGUGCAUUUUGGGCCAAAAAUUAACAAGGGGCUCCCAAGAAGUCUAUGGAUCAACAAGAGGUGGGCCAUUUGGAUGGUCAAACGAACAAAACAAUAUGAAAGGGCCAUUUUGGAGCCAAAUUGGUGUGCUAUAGCUUAUGGUUUUCUGGGUAUGCCUGGGCCCAGGCCUGUUUUUGGCCAAAAAUCAAUCGAGGGCUGCCAUUCAGGCUGAGGAUUGACCAGGGAAGGGUCGUUUGGGUCAGCGGGGAUGUUUGGGUGGUCAAACGGGUAAAACAGCGCGAAUGGGCCAUUUUUUAGCCAAAUCGAUCUGCUAAAGAUUACAAUUUUUUGGGUGUGCGGGGGACCUGGAGUAUUUAGGGCCAAAAAUUGCUCGGGAGCUCCUAGGCAGGCUGUGGAUUGUCCAUGGGUAGGUCUUUGGAUUUGGCGGGGCCGUUUGGGUGGUCAAACCGGCGAAAUAAUGCAAAUAGUCCAUUUUUGGACCAAAUUGGUGUGGUAUAUCUCAGGAUUUUCUAUGUGUACCUGAGGUCCAAGCGUGUUUUGGUUCAAAAAUUGACCUGGACUCACAGGAAGGCUGUGUAUCAAUCAGGGGUGGGCUAUUUGGGUCGACGGGGCCCUUUGGAUUGUUAAACGGGCGAAAAGGCAUGAAUGGGCCAUUUUCGGGCCAAAUUGAUGUGCUAUAGCUCAUGGUUUUCUAGGUGUGCUCGAGGCUCGAGCGUGUUUUAGGCUGAAAAUUAGUUGAGGGCUCCUAUUCAUUCUGUGGAUCAGCCAAGGGUAGGCCAUUUGGGUCGGCAGGGCUGUUUAGGUGGUCAAAUGGGUGAAACGGUGCGAACAGGCCAUUUUCAAGCCAAAUUAGUGUGCUAUAGUUCACGGUUUUUGUAGUGUGCCUGAGGCUCGAGUGUGUUCUGGGUAGAAAUAUGUUGGGGGAUCCUAGGCAGGCUGUGGAUCAUCCAAGGGGGGGCCAGUUUGGUCGGCAGGGCCAUUUGGGAGGUCAAACAGGCAAAAGGGCACGAACUGGCCAUUUUCAGGUCAAAUUGGUGUGCUAUAACUCACGGUUUGUUGGGUGUGCCUGGAGCUUGGGCGUGUUUUGAGCUGAAAAUCAACCGUGGGCUCCCAAGCAGGCUGUGGAUCGACCAGAGAUAGGCUGUUUAGGUCAACAGUGCUGUUUGGGUGGUCAAACAGGCGAAACAGCAUUAACAAGCCAUUUUCAGGCAAAAUUGAUGUGUUAUAGAUCACGAUUUUCUGGGUGUACUCGAGUCCUGGGCGUGUUUUUGGCUGAUAAUUGAUCGAGGGUUCCCAAGUAGGUUGUGGAUCGGCUAGAGGUGGGAAGUUUGGGUCGGUCGGGCCGUUUGGGUGGUCAAACAGGCGAAGCGGUGCGAAUAGGCCAUUUUUGGGCCAAAUCGAUGUGCUAUAGCUCACAGUUUUCUGGUCGCGAGCCAAAUCGGUAUGUUAUAGCUCACAGUUUUCAGUGUGUGCCAGGUAAGAGUGUUAAGUGGGCCGGCCCGGGUUAACCCGGAACUGGCCCGUUAAAUUUAGCCGAGUUGUGGGCUGGGCUGGGUCGGGUUUGAGUUCAUCAGUAAAAAUUUUAAAAGCAACCCAAAACCGGCCCACUUAGACCAACCCGGUCUAACCCACCUAAACCCGGUCAAACCCGAUUAAAAAUCUGGUCAAACCCGGUCAAAAACCAAAAAACAAAUUCCAAUAUACACUAUAUAUACCCACCUAUAUACAUUUUAAAUACGUUAAACAAUAUAUAUACACUAUAUAUAUAGUAUAUAGUAUAUAGUAUAUAGUAUAUACUACAUUAGAAUUUAAAAAAUAUAUACACAUAUACACAAUUACACAUAUAUACGUAACAUUCAAUAUAUACGACUAUACGUACUACUUUAAAUAAAACAUAUACUACAAUAUUUANNNNNNNNNNNNNNNNNNNNNNNNNNNNNNNNNNNNNNNNNNNNNNNNNNNNNNNNNNNNNNNNNNNNNNNNNNNNNNNNNNNNNNNNNNNNNNNNNNNNNNNNNNNNNNNNNNNNNNNNNNNNNNNNNNNNNNNNNNNNNNNNNNNNNNNNNNNNNNNNNNNNNNNNNNNNNNNNNNNNNNNNNNNNNNNNNNNNNNNNNNNNNNNNNNNNNNNNNNNNNNNNNNNNNNNNNNNNNNNNNNNNNNNNNNNNNNNNNNNNNNNNNNNNNNNNNNNNNNNNNNNNNNNNNNNNNNNNNNNNNNNNNNNNNNNNNNNNNNNNNNNNNNNNNNNNNNNNNNNNNNNNNNNNNNNNNNNNNNNNNNNNNNNNNNNNNNNNNNNNNNNNNNNNNNNNNNNNNNNNNNNNNNNNNNNNNNNNNNNNNNNNNNNNNNNNNNNNNNNNNNNNNNNNNNNNNNNNNNNNNNNNNNNNNNNNNNNNNNNNNNNNNNNNNNNNNNNNNNNNNNNNNNNNNNNNNNNNNNNNNNNNNNNNNNNNNNNNNNNNNNNNNNNNNNNNNNNNNNNNNNNNNNNNNNNNNNNNNNNNNNNNNNNNNNNNNNNNNNNNNNNNNNNNNNNNNNNNNNNNNNNNNNNNNNNNNNNNNNNNNNNNNNNNNNNNNNNNNNNNNNNNNNNNNNNNNNNNNNNNNNNNNNNNNNNNNNNNNNNNNNNNNNNNNNNNNNNNNNNNNNNNNNNNNNNNNNNNNNNNNNNNNNNNNNNNNNNNNNNNNNNNNNNNNNNNNNNNNNNNNNNNNNNNNNNNNNNNNNNNNNNNNNNNNNNNNNNNNNNNNNNNNNNNNNNNNNNNNNNNNNNNNNNNNNNNNNNNNNNNNNNNNNNNNNNNNNNNNNNNNNNNNNNNNNNNNNNNNNNNNNNNNNNNNNNNNNNNNNNNNNNNNNNNNNNNNNNNNNNNNNNNNNNNNNNNNNNNNNNNNNNNNNNNNNNNNNNNNNNNNNNNNNNNNNNNNNNNNNNNNNNNNNNNNNNNNNNNNNNNNNNNNNNNNNNNNNNNNNNNNNNNNNNNNNNNNNNNNNNNNNNNNNNNNNNNNNNNNNNNNNNNNNNNNNNNNNNNNNNNNNNNNNNNNNNNNNNNNNNNNNNNNNNNNNNNNNNNNNNNNNNNNNNNNNNNNNNNNNNNNNNNNNNNNNNNNNNNNNNNNNNNNNNNNNNNNNNNNNNNNNNNNNNNNNNNNNNNNNNNNNNNNNNNNNNNNNNNNNNNNNNNNNNNNNNNNNNNNNNNNNNNNNNNNNNNNNNNNNNNNNNNNNNNNNNNNNNNNNNNNNNNNNNNNNNNNNNNNNNNNNNNNNNNNNNNNNNNNNNNNNNNNNNNNNNNNNNNNNNNNNNNNNNNNNNNNNNNNNNNNNNNNNNNNNNNNNNNNNNNNNNNNNNNNNNNNNNNNNNNNNNNNNNNNNNNNNNUAAUUUAUAAAACAUAUACACAUGUAUACGUAAAAUAUAUACGUCUAUAGAAGAUAUAUACACAUAUAUACGUACCAUUCAAUAUAUAUGUACUACUUUAAAUAAAAUAUACUACAAUAUAUAUAUUGCAAUAUAUACACACACUAUAUAUAUAGUUAUACAUUAAUAACUAUAUAGUUAUACACUGAUUUGGCUCGGGCGUGUUUUGGGCCAAAAAUAACUUGGGGAUCCCAGGCAGGCUAUGGAUCGGCUAGAGGUGGUUCAUUUGGGUCGACGGGGCCGUUUAGCUAGUCAAAUAGGCAAAACGGUGUAAAUGGACUAUUUUCUAGCCAAACAGGUGUGUUAUAGCUUUUGGUUUGCUAGGUUUGCUUGGGGCUCGGGCGUAUUUUGGGUUGAAAAUUGACCGAGGUCUCCCAACUAGUCUGUGUGUUGGCCAAAGGUAGGUCGUUUAGGUUGGCGGGGCUGUUUGGGUGAUCAAACGGGCAAAACGGUACGAACGGGCCAUUUUCGAGUCAAAUCAAGCUCACAAUUUUUUGGGUGUGCCUGGGGGUCGGGUUUUUUUGGGUUAAAAAUCAAUCGGGGUCUCCCAGAAAGGUUGUGGAUAUUCCAAGGGUGGCUAGUUUGGGUGGAUGGGGUGGUUUGGGUGGUCAAACGGGCAAAACGGUGCUAAUGGGCCAUUUUUGUUCUAAAUUGGUGUGCUAUAGCUCACGGUUUUCUGGUUGUGCCCCGGGCUCGAGCAUUUUUUAUACCUAAAAUCGAUCAAGGGGUCCCAGGCAGGCUGUGGAUUGACCAAGGGUGGGUCGUUUAGGUCAGUUGGAUCAUUUGGGUGGUCAAAUAGGCCAAACGGUGCGAACAGGCCAUUUUUAGGGACAAAUCGAUAAGCUAUAGCUCACAUUUUUCCAGAUGUGCCUAGAUACCCAUCUUUUUUUGGGAUGAAAAUUGAUUGGAUGAUCCCAGCCAGGUUAUGGAUUGUCCAGGGGUUGGUCAUUUAGGCCAUUAGGGUCGUUUGGGUGGUCAAACGGGCGAAACGGCCUGAACGGGCUAUUUUUGGGCCAAAUCAGUGUGCUAUUGAUCACAAUUUUCUCGGUGAAAAAUUAAAUAGGGGCUUCCAGACAGGAUAUAGAUAUACCAGGGGUGGGCCAUUUGGGUUGGCAAGGUCGUUUAGGUAGUCAAACAUGCAAAACAGUGUGAAUGGUCCAUUGUCGGGCCAUAGCUCUUGGUUUUCUGGGUGUGCCUGAGGCCCGAGCGUGUUUUGAGACGAAUCAAUCGAGGGCUCCUAGGCAGUCUGUGGAUCGUCCAGGGGUGAACCAUUUGGGUCGGUGGGAUUAAUUGGGUGGUCAAAUGGGCAAAACAACUCGAAUGGACCAUUUUUAGCCCAAAUUGGUAUUCUAUAGCUCAUGAUUUUCUGGGUAUGCCCCAGGCCCAAACGUGUUUUAGGAUGAAUUUGACGUGGGUGCAGGUAAGUUGUGGACUGGACAGGGGUGGGCCCUUGGGUUGAUGAGACCAUUUUGGUGGUCAAACAAGCGAAACAAUGUGAACAAACUAUUUUCUCGCCAAAUCGGUGUACUAUAUAUCUCACGAUUUUCUAGGUGUGCCUGGGCACUGGUGUGUUUUAGGCCAAAAAGUUAUUGAGGGCUCCCAGGAAGGCUGUAGAUCAGCCAAGGGUGGGCCGUUUAGGUCGACGGGGCCAUUUGGGUCUAUUUUUGGGCCAAAACAGUGUGCUAUAGCAUAAUUUUUUGGGUAUAACCAGGUCCCGAGCAUAUUUUGGGCCAAAAAUUAUUCAGGGGCUCACAGGAAAGCUGUGGAUCGACUAGCAAUGGGUCGUUUUGGUCGACGGGGCUGUUUGAGUGGUCAAACGGGCGAAACAGUGUGAAUGGGCCAUUUUUUAGCCAAAUCGAUGUGUUAUAGCUCAUAUUUUCCUAGGUGUGACCAGGACUCAGGUGUAUUUUGGGACAAAAAUUAACCGAGGGUUCCCAGGCAGACUAUGUAUCGUCCAGGGGUAGGUCGUUUGAGUCGGCGGGGCUGUUUAGGUGGUCAAACGGGCAAAACAGUGCGAAUGGGCCAUGUUCGGGCUAAAUCGGAGUUCUAAGAUCAAGGUUUUUUGGGCGUGCCCAGGGCCCGAGCACAUUUUGGGUUGCAAAAUUAACUAGGGCUUCCCAGGUGGGCUCUGGAUUGGCAAGGGGUGAGUCGUUAGGGUCAGCGGGGUCGUUUGGGUGGUCAAACAAGCAAACCAGCGCGAAGGGACCAUUUUUGGGCCAAAUCAGUGUGUCAUAGCUCACGGUUUUCUAGGUGUGCCCAAGGUUCGGGCGUGUUUUGGGCCAAAAAUCAAUUGAUAUUCCUAGGCAGGUUAUGGAUAGGCCAAGGGUGGAUCGUUUAGGUCGAUGGGGCCGUUUGGGUGGUCAAACAAGCGAAACAGUGCAAACGGGCAAUUUUCAAGCCAAAUUGGUAUGCUGUAGCUCACGGUUUUCUAGGUGUGCCUAGGGACUAGGCAUGUUUUGGGCCAAAAAUAGAUCGGGGCUCCCAGGCAGGCUAUGGAUUGGCUAAGGGCAGGUCGUUUGGGUCGGUGAGGCUGUUUGGGUUGUCAAAUGGGUGAAACGGUGUGAACGAACCAUUUUUGGGCCAAAUUAGUGUAUUAUAGCUCACGGUUUUCACUGUGUGCUUGAGGCAAGGGCGUGUUUUGGGCCAAAAAUUGAUCGGGGACUCCUAGGAAGUCUGUAAAUCGGCCAAGGUUGGGCCAUUUGGGUGGUCAAAUGGGUUAAACGAUGCGAACGGGCUAUUUUCUGGCCAUAUCGAUGUGUUAUAUCUCACAAUUUCUUGGGUGUGCCCGGGGCUCGAGCGUGCUUCGAGCUAAAAUUUGUUGAGGGCUCCCAGGUAAGCUGUGGAUCAGCUAGGGGUUGGUUGUUUGGGUCCACGGGUCCAUUUGGAUGGUCAAAUGGGAGAAAUACUAAGAAUAGCGCAUUUUCGAGCCAAAUUGGUGUGUUAUAGCUCACGAUUUUCUAGUGGUACCCGGAUCUCGAGCGUGUUUUGGGCCAAAAAUUGACUGAGGGCUCUCAGGUAGGUUAUGGAUCGGCCAGGGGUGGCCUGUUUGGGUCGACAGGGCCGUUUGGGUGAUCAAACAGGCAAAAUGGUGUGAACAGCCCAUUUUUGGGUCAAAUAGGUAUGCUAUAGCUCACAACUUUCUGUGUGUGCACAGGGAUUGGGUGUGUUUUCGGCCGAAAAUAGACUGAGGGCUCCCUGGAAGGCUGUGGAUCUGUCAGGGGUGGUCGUUUGGGUUAGUGGGGCUGUUUGGGUGGUCAAACAAGCAAAACGGUACGAACAGGCCAUUUUUGGGCAAAAUCGGUAUGCUAUAGCUCACGGUUUUCUUGCCUGCUGUAAAUCAGUCUUGCUUAAUAUUGAUGAGUGAUGACAGCCAAAAGGGUUUGACUACUACCUCAAGAAUUCUUGGAACCUCUUCUGCAUGCCUACUAAAAAUUAUUUAAGGACAGGUGUAGGCAUCCUAUUAAUAAGAUAUCCAGUAGUUUGGACAUAAGGGCCCAAAACUUCAAGGUUGCAUGACCUUGGAGUUUGAUUGCUCGGCAGACUUCUAAAACGUGUAUGUGCUUCAUCUCAGAAACAUUAUUUUGCUGUGGAGUAUAAGCACAUGAAGUUCGAUAAAUGAUACAACUGGACUUAAACAUGGAGUCAUAUACUGAAUUUAUAAACUCAAUACCAUUAUCACUCCUAAUAACUUUAACACACUUUUAAAACUAAGUUUUAACAUAAGCUAGAAACUAUUUUAGAGCAACACAUACAUCGAAAAUAUUUGUUUUCAUUAUAUGUAGCAGUCUCGUAAGGUCCCCAUACAUCAAGAUAUAGCAUGUCAAAACAAGCAGUACUUUUAAUACCACUAUUAGUAGGAAAUGAAGUUCUAACUUGCUUACCACAAAGACAAAUGAAACAUCUUCUAUUGUUUGAGUUUUUGUCUAAAGGAACAUAAAACAACUUGUUUAAUACUUUGAAUGAACUAUGACCAAGUCUCAUAUGUCAAAGAUUAACAUCAACUAAACUAUCUUUAGACUUUAAGGAACAAGAAUUUGCACCAUGUACUGAUUUGAUUCUGAAAAAAGGCGGCAGGUAUAGGUCACGCCCUUGUAUACCAAUCCCUUUCACCUUCUCAUUGAAGAGAUCCUGAAAUAUGCAAAAGUCAGGAAAAAAUGUCACUACACAUUGUAAAGAUUUUGUUACUUGGGACACUGAGAGAAGAUAAAAUUUAAAUUGAUGUAUAUACAAAACAUUAUUGAUAUUAUACCCUACAGUAAUCAUACUUGUUCCCAUAUAAGUGACAUAGGAUGCAUCACCGGUAGGUAAAAACACUUUUUCAGACUUGUUAGAGUCUAGUUUAGUGAGGCUAGUGAGAAGAUCAGGAUCUGCUACCAUAUGGUUGGUAGCUCCUGUAUCAAUUAUCCACUCUUUCUGAUGGUUUACAGAACCUAAAAUGGUAUUUAUACCUAUUAUGUUGGCAACAUGGGUGGUACGAGACAUUGUUCAGCAUAGUCAAAAUUUGAAUAUUGAUCUCCUAUAAAAAGCAAGGCAUUUGCAUUUGACUGUUAGGAAGUACAGCUGAAGAAGAUGCAUGAACACUAGCAUGAGCUUGAUACGUACCCAUCUUUGAACCUUGAUGAGAGCCAACAAUUGAUACUUGAGAUUAAGAUAGAAAACCAUCUCUUAAUCAUCUCGAAGUAUUAGGAUGCUUAGUCUUUGCUAAGAAUGUUCAUGAAACUAACAAGCUCAAAACUAGAGCUAUAAAACCCAUUAUAUGGGAUAUUCUCCUACCCAAAAGGGUUAUAUACUUUAUAAUCUUGCUGAUGAUAAUUUUUUGUUCUCAGAGAUAUUGAAUUUAGAGAGACUAUUUUUCAUUUUCAAGAUAUCACUACCAAAUCAUUAUCUUUCUUGGAUGCAUUCUCUGAUAAUCUAUUAGCACCUGAGUCAAGUCAGUUCAUGUUUACUGAGCAGCCACCUAAACAAGUUCCUGCACUUGUUGUGUCUAUGUCUGUUGGUGUCACACAAACUACUACAACUAGAUUCUACUCAACCACAUACACAAUCUAUCACUAAAUAAAGAUGAUCAACCAAAUCUAAGGCACUACCUUUGUGGUUAAAAAGACUUUGUUACAGCUAAGAAAUCUACUACUGCUCCUGCUUAUGUGUCUAUCAAAUUACAUAAGUUAUGAUCACCUAUCAACCAACUAUUAAGCAUUUCUUGCUAGUAUUUCUGUAGAGGUAGAACCUACUUCAUAUACUGAUGCUAUUAAAGAUCUCAGACGGGUUGAGACCAUGAAGGCAAAAAUAAGUGCUUUAGAAGAUGAUCAAACUUGGAAAGUUGUAAGCUUACCUGAAUGAAGAAGCCUGUAGGUUGUAAAUGGAUGUUUAGAAUAAAGUACAAGGAUACAAUAUCUAUAGAAAGGUUCAAGUCAAGGCUUGUGGCCAAAGGUUAUAGCUAGCAAGCAGAUAUUGACUACCUAGAAAUUUUCUCUCCUAUAGUCAAAAUGGUUACAGAUAGAUCUGUAUUGGCACUUGCAUAUGUUAGGCACUGGCACAUCCAUCAAAUGGAUAUAUACAAUGUCUUCUUGUAAGGUGAUCUUCUAGAUGAGAUAUGCAUGGAGUUACAACAAGGAUUUCAAAGUCGGGGGGAGAAAAGACCAAUGUGCAAACUUCUUAAAUCCUUGUAUGGCCUAAAACAGGCACCUAGACAGUGGUACUCAAAGCUUUUAGAAGUUGUUGUGCAUCUUGGUUUUGUUCUGUCUCAAUAUGAUAACUCAUUAUUUACAAGAAAAGUUGAAAAUAAUCUAAUCAUCAUACUAGUUUAUGUAGAUGAUAUGCUAGUUACUAGAAGUAAUCUACGGUUGAUCAAAGACACUAAAGUUGUCGUGCAUAAGAUUUUUAAAAUGAAAGAUCUUGGAGCAUUAAGAUUCUUAUUAGGCAUUGAAUUUGCAAGAUCAAAAGAUGGAAUUCUGAUGCAUCAAAGGAAAUACAAAAAUCGGAAUUAAUAUCUAAGUUGGGAUUGAGAGCAGCAAAACCAGUAGCUACUCCUUUUGAAGAAAAUGUCAAGUUAACUACAAAAGAACUUAAUGAUCAUAUAGGUGAUUCGAGCUAGGGGGAGAAUGAUUCACUAGCAUACAUUGUAGCUUAUUAAAGAAUCAUUGAAAAAUUACCAUACUUGAUCCUGAGCAGACCUGAUAUAAAUGCAGACACUAAGUCAAUUCCUACAUCAGCCUAAAAAGUCACAACUAGAAGCUGCUGUGAGAAUAGUCAGAUAUGUGAACAAUCAGCCUGGAUAAGGUGUACUACUGCCAAGCAGUAGUCAACAACAGGUCUCAGCCUAUUGUGAUGUUGACUGGGCAGCUUGUCCAAACUCAAGAAAGUCAGUGAAUGAUUUUUUGGUUAAAUAGGAGAUUCUUUAAGCUCUUGGAAAUCAAAGAAAUAGAUCAUUGUUUCCGGAAGCUGAGUAUAAAAGUCUUGCCUCUACCACUGUUGAUUUAGUAUGUAUACAUGGCCUAUUUGGAGAACUUGGACUUCAGUUGACACUACCGGUUGUAUACUAGAUAGUAAAUCAGCUAUGCAGAUAGCUGCAAAUCCUGUGUUCCAUGAAAGGACUAAAUAUAUAGAAAUUGAUUGUCACUUUGAAAGGGAAAAAUACAAAAAGGCAUAAUCAAGGCAGAGUAUAUUUGCACAAGAGAUCAACAAGCAGGUCAGCUAAAAAAAGGAUUGUACGAAGUUCAACAUGACCAUGUAUGUUCCAAGCUUGGAUUGUACAACAUGUUUACAUCUCCUAAACUUGAGGGGGAGUGUUAAGAGAAACGUAGAUUAGACUUUGUAUAAUUUGUUACUUAGUUGAUUAAAAAGUUAGUUAUACACAAUAGCCGACACUAGUAUAAGUACUACUGCUGCUCAGUUUUAUUGAUCAAUAAUGAGAAUAUUUCUCUUCUUUCUUCUUCGUACAUCUUUACUUCUUUGUUGUUAAUUCUACAUUACUCAACAGAAUGUGAUUUACAAACAUGCACUGCGUGUCUCCGCCUAUUUUGCAGUUUGUUUAUUUUUCUUAAGUAAUAAUUUAUCACAUAAAACAUUUGCAAGCGCAAAGGCUAUAAAACAUGUAAUUUAAGAGCUAUAAUUUUCAAAUUGCAUGCGUCUCUCUAUAGGUUUGGUGUAAACACCAAAGUGUGAAAAUUUUAACGUACCAAAUUUUCAAAUUACAUGCAUCUAUAGGCUUUGGUGUAAACGGCAAAGUGUGGAAAUUUUAUACAUACCAAAUUUUCAAGACCGGUGAGUUCGAAUUUGAAGCCCAUAAUUCCCCAAGCUCUCUUGCUCUUCAUGAAUCUUCUCUGCACUAGCCUCGACUACAGGGCCACAUUUUUCUACCUGGAUUAAUAUUAGCGUCGCUAUAUCUCCAAUAGCCUGGGGAAUCUCCUCCAGGCUAUUGAACCAUAUGAGCACUAGUUGCUCAAGUACCGGAAAAUUAUCACUAGAUGUUUCUUCCCACCUUUCUAGAUCUCCGUACUCCAAACGUAGGUAUUUUAAUUUUGGAAACACAACAUCUGCAUUUAGUCUCCAAUCUGUCCCCCAGAAUCCGCCAUUUGCUUUAAGCACCUCGAGUUUGGAUAAAUUAGCCAGCACAACCGUAUCUUCCCAUGGAAAAAAUGUAUAAACCAAUGUCAGUUGCUUGAUAUUAGACAUGAAAACAUGCCUAGAGAGAAUGAUUGGAUCAUGUUCUACUGCUGAAAGUAUAUGUAGUGUCUCAAGCCCUUGUAGAAGAAUGGGACAUCUAACAAAAACAGACCAAUCAGUAUUGGAUACCACUCUAAUCUUUAGCUUAUUCAGAUUGGGAGUUCUUGUUAGGAUUUCAUCAAGAAAAGGACAGGAAGGUAGAGCAAGAUUUUGCAAGUUAUUGAGAAACAAAAGUUUUUCUUCACCAAUACUACUAUGAUUUUCUGCCUCAAGAGGAUUAGGAAUAUGAUUUGACCAUCCAACAUCGAUAUGUCUUAUCGCUGACAUUUUCCAUAUCUCUAGUGGCAGUUGAACCUCGUAGGCGACCAAUAUUAUGGUUUGUAGAUUCCGCAAUUUGGCUAGUGAAGCAGGGUCGUCAAUGCCUGCAGCAAUGUAUCUCAAAUGUACAAGCUGAGGUAUUACACGAGAGAAAUCAUUCCUUAUUGCAGAUACAUCCAACACCUUAAGCAGCUUGAAAUGUGAAACCGUGGAACAGGGAAAUUCUGAGAAAUAAAAACAACAGGCUUUUGUAAAGAUCAAGCUGCGAAUGGUACUUGUAAUACCAUCACUGCCAUGCUCUAGAAAAUAAUCACACCGUGAGAAGUCAUUAAGUUGAAGCACCACUCUUUGUUGAUCAUAUAAACCUUGUGAGAAAUCGGUGAUGGUCCCAUCCAUGAAAUGCACAACAUUUUCAAUUUGAGCUUGUCGUGUGAAUAAUUGGCGAAUGACAUCAUGAAUUUUACAAGUUUUGAUCCUUCUAUUCGCCCCUCGUCUACCAACCAAAAUUAGACUCCGAUCAACUAGCUCUUCUAGAUACUCCUCUGCCACGACUUCUAACCUUUUAUCGACUCUUGCCUUUACAAAUUGCUCAGCAAUCCAUAACCUAGUUAACUUGGAAACGCUAAUCUCCAUUUCUUCAGGAAAACCUCCAACGUAGAGAAAACACGCCUUCAAAUAUUGCGGCAAGUAACUGUAGCUCAAAGAAAGAAUUGCUUGACAAUGUUCAGAAACUGUACCAAAGAAUGAGAUCAAAUUUUGCUCAACUUUCUUUCAAUGAUAAUGUGUAGGAUCCAACUUGGCAAGAAAUCCAGCAACUACAACAAUAGAGAGAGGUAAUCCUUGACAUUGUCGUAUGAUACGCCUCCCUAUUUUCUCUAGUUGUGGAGGACAAGGGUCUUUUCUGAAUACUCUUUCGGUAAACAAAUUCCAACUAUCAUCUAAACUUAGAAAAGACAUAUUAUGAGGAGGAAAAUCGGAGCAACUCACAUAAUCAGCAACAUAUUUGAGUAGAGUGGUUAAUAGAAUCCGACUUUUCCUGUUAUCAUUUGGAAAUAUUCUUCGCAUUUGGUCCCACGCCUCAGUAGUCCAGAGUUCAUCUAUGACAAUCAGAAAUCUCCUACCCUUGAGACCUCUAUACGCAAUCUCCGCUAGCUGAUCAUUUCUCAUCUCUUUAAUGCUUUCAUUAGUCUUGUUCCGACUAAUUGAAGAGACAAUAUCAAGAAGCACUUGUCUCUCAUUGUAGUUUUCAGAGACAGUUACCCAUAUACAUGUAUCAAAUCGAUGUCUAAUUAAUGAAUCAUCAUAAACUUUUUUAGCAAGAGUUGACUUACCUAUACCGCCCAUGCCAACUAUUGAUAUGACAGUUAGCUCAUCUAUUCAACAAGUGAGGCGAUCUAUAAUGGUGUUAAAGCCAUCCUCCAUUCCUACAAUCCUAGCAUUCUGCUCAGUUGCAUAUCUUCUUGAUGAAGAACAAGUUUUUGCUUCCGCGCAUUUGCUUCCAUGUUUGUUUAACUCUUCCCUAAGAAGAUCAACUACUUCUUUUUCCACUUGUUGCAAUUCUUCAUUGAAGGCUUCACAAGCCCUUUCCUGGACUUCAUUGUCUUCUGCUAGAAUGAUGAUGCUUCUUAGGCUUGAAUCGACGCGAUCUUCCAAUUUGUAGAUUACAUCUCUGAUCCUCUUUUCUAAAACAUUCAAAGUUUCAGUAUCUUUAAUCUCCUCAGUAGCAUUAUCAAGAAAAACUUGCAGUGCAGAUAGAAUUUGAUAAACAGAUUCAACAAGAUGUUGUUGUAUAAACCUUACACAAACCAAACAUGUUUCAGGUUGUAAGAUUUGUUGCAGUGUAUGCAUAAGUGAAGAAAGAGCAGCAUAAGCCAUUUCUCUCAAGUGUAUGUAAUAGGGUUAUUGCAGUUUGCUUUGAAUGCCUAAAGACUCAAACCACUCCACUUCACCAUUUUUUUUUUUUGUUUCCCACUCAGUGGUCGCAGUGACGAAGUCAGAAAUCUCGUUAAGGGCGCUCAAGAUUUAAUACAUACACCACUGGGUGUCCAAUACCUGUUUUAUAGUUCGCGCACUGUAAGGCUCAUUCUAAGAAUGGCACUCCCAAUAAGAUUUGCUCUAUUUCUACGGCUCGAACCCGAGAUUUCUAAUCAAGGAUAGAGAAAUCCCGCCACUGCACCACAACCCAUUUUGGUCGACUUUACCUUAAUAGAAAACGAGAAUCAAAUUGUUUCACUUAAUAUAUUAGAUUGUACUAGUAAUAUUUAUGAGACAGGGUUUAGUGCACUCACUUUUUAAAUCAUUUUUCUUUAAUAAAGUUGAUGGAUCGCCAAUUGGUAACUUCCACAAUCCAGUCCACUUUACAUUAUAAAAUUAAUUAAGUUGGAAGAAAGGAUAAAUAAUGGGACUCAUUUAGUUUCAACUUGUAAUGCUAAAACAAAUUCAAGACCUUUCUUUCUUUUGAGUUUUCACCUGAUGUCUAGUAUCCAAAUUGAGAGUAUAAACUAAAGAGUUCUCAAGGCAUAUACACGUGUGUCAAUCAGCUUGAGAAGUAUAUAUGCAUUAUUUAUUAGACAACUCACUGCAUACUCAUCUUUUUCUUUAAUUAAUUUCCCCUAAAAUAAAGUACUAGUAUUGAUAUGUGCUUUUCUUUGGUCAUUUUAAUCUUAGGUAUAACAACAACAAACUCAAUGUAUUCCCACAUAGUGAGGUUUGGGGAGUAUAAAAUAUAUGCAGUCUAUACCUCUACCUCUAAAGAAGUAGAAAGGCUAUUUCCGAUAGACCCCCGGUUCGAGACACGGAAUACUAAACAAAUUCAUAGUAAAGCAUGGAACAAGAUGGCAUAACAUAAAUACGACCCACAAGUAAUAGUAAACAGAGAAAAGUAAACAGAUUUUAAUCUUAGGUAUAGAAGUUUAUUAAUGCCCAAUUAAGAAGUUCAAUCAAUAAACCUUACCAUUAGUUCUACUAAUUGUUUUUUUCCUAGUGAGUGUAUGAAAACCUUAAACGACACUUUGAAACGAACCGGAGAAAGUACUAUAAAAUAGCAUUGAAGCAUAGAGGAAAUUGGUAAAAUCAAAUUGAGACAAAUUCAAAUUUAUAAGUUAAUGAAUGCCACAACAACGUUGAGUUAAUAUUCAAUAUAAAUUAGUUCACAAUCAAAUAUUUAGUAGAUUUUUAAUAUAAUACACAUACAAUAUUUGGAAGAAAAAUAUAAGAUUCAUGCGAACCACUGCAUCGAGAAUUCGACGUAUACUUGAAACUACAGCCAAGCUAAAUUAUAUCCAUCAAAGAUCUUCAAUCAAUUUGAAGAAAUUCUGGUUCUCGAAUUGCUGCACAGUGACCAUUACAUGAAAAAAAAAAAAAAAUGAAGCAGCAACUCGCUCUUGCUACUUUAAGCAAACUGUGAGUACCCUGCUGACCUGAACUGUAGAAGUUGUGAUGCACAAUUUGAAGACAGCUAUCUUGAUUUCAGUAGCCAUCUUUCCGGAAAACACCAUAACAGUAUGCAUUUAUUAAUACAGCUAUUUGGGAACGCAAUGUUUUGGAAAAGACUGCACUGAUGACGGACCGACAUUACGUCAAAGUGCAAGAAAUCCUGAGACCCUCUAAUAGAAUAUAAGUUGACCAAUGUCGAUGAUAAUAGUUGCAUACAAUGUAAUACAAAAUCAGUAGCUAGGAAUUCUCAACAUAUGCAGAACAUGCCUAACGCUGUUUGUCAGUUACCUAAAUCAGGGCCAAGAAGAAAUGAAGGCCAGAUGAUACACAAGUAUUGUCCUAAGAUAUCAAAAGGUUAACUUGAGGUGACUUGGUCGAAUAUGGUCUCUUCUUGCUGCACUGAAUAGUUCUCCACAGAGUUGCUAGCACCUGUUGCAGCUGGUUCUGUGCCAUUGAUCUCCUCAAUUGGAAUCUCCCUGUCAAACUGCUCCUUUUCGUCUACUUUUUUAGCAUCAUUAGAAUUCUGAACCAGUGGGUCCGCAGCGGCACGAACUUCUUCUGCACUUUCUUCUUGGCUAGCUGAGGUCCCCUUGCUGAAUUCAGCAGAAUGAAAUGAGGCAUCUUCCCCAGCUGGUUUAAUCUCUAUCUUAUUUUCCUCUAGCACAUUCAGAGCAUCUGCAGCGGCAGGAACUUCUUGUGCUACACUUUCUUCUUGGCAAACUAAGAUCGCCUUGCUGAGUUCAGCAGAAUGAAAUGAGGCAUCUUCCCCAGCUGGUUUACUCUCUAUCUUAUUUUCCUCUAGCACAUUCAGUGCAUCCGCAGCGGCAGGAACUUCUUGUGCUACACUUUCUUCUUGACUAGCUGAUGUCGCCUUGCUGAGUUCAGCAGAUUGAGAUGCGGCGUCAGUCCCAGCUGGUUUACUCUCUAUCUUAUUUUCCUCAAGCACAUUCAGUGCAUCUACAGCGGCAGGAACUUCUUGUGCUGCACUUUCUUCUUGGCUAGCUGAGGUGGCCUUGCUGAGUUCAGCAGAAUGAGAUGAGGUGUCAGCCCCAGCUGGUUUGCUCUCAAUCUUAUUUUCCUCAAGAAUAUUCAGUGCAUCUGCAGCGGCAGGAACUUCUUCUGCACUUUCUUCUUUGCUAGCUGAGGUUGCCUUGCUGAGUUCAGCAGAAUGAGAUGAGGCAUCUGUCCCAGCUGGUUCACUCUCGUUCUUAUCCUCCUCAAGCACACUCAAUGGUAGCGUUUUGUUGAGGCUGUUAUCGAGAGGUUUAUCUUCAGCUUCUUGAAUUUCCAUUUUCUCUAUGUUUCCCUCAUCCAUUGUUUCUUCUUU
rnacentral:lncRNA from 1 species